rnacentral:rRNA from 1 species
GAGUUUGAUCCUGGCUCAGGAUGAACGCUGGCGGCGUGCUUAACACAUGCAAGUCGAACGAAGCACUUUAUUUGAUUUCCUUCGGGACUGAUUAUUUUGUGACUGAGUGGCGGACGGGUGAGUAACGCGUGGGUAACCUGCCUUGUACAGGGGGAUAACAGUUGGAAACGGCUGCUAAUACCGCAUAAGCGCACAGCAUCGCAUGAUGCAGUGUGAAAAACUCCGGUGGUAUAAGAUGGACCCGCGUUGGAUUAGCUAGUUGGUGAGGUAACGGCCCACCAAGGCGACGAUCCAUAGCCGGCCUGAGAGGGUGAACGGCCACAUUGGGACUGAGACACGGCCCAGACUCCUACGGGAGGCAGCAGUGGGGAAUAUUGCACAAUGGGGGAAACCCUGAUGCAGCGACGCCGCGUGGAGGAAGAAGGUCUUCGGAUUGUAAACUCCUGUUGUUGGGGAAGAUAAUGACGGUACCCAACAAGGAAGUGACGGCUAACUACGUGCCAGCCGCCGCGGUAAUUC